rnacentral:rRNA from 1 species
AACGGACGCUGGCGGCAGGCUUAACACAUGCAAGUCGAACGCAUCCUUCGGGGUGAGUGGCAGACGGGUGAGUAACGCGUGGGAACGUGCCCUUCAGUUCGGGAUAACCCAGGGAAACUUGGGCUAAUACCGGAUACGUGCGAGAGCAGAAAGAUUUAUCGCUGAAGGAUCGGCCCGCGUCUGAUUAGCCAGUUGGUGGGGUAAUGGCCCACCAAGGCGACGAUCAGUAGCUGGUCUGAGAGGAUGAUCAGCCACAUUGGGACUGAGACACGGCCCAAACUCCUACGGGAGGCAGCAGUGGGGAAUAUUGGACAAUGGGCGCAAGCCUGAUCCAGCCAUGCCGCGUGAGUGAUGAAGGCCUUAGGGUUGUAAAGCUCUUUCGUCCGGGACGAUAAUGACGGUACCGGAAGAAGAAGCCCCGGCUAACUUCGUGCCAGCCGCCGCUGUAA